rnacentral:misc_RNA from 1 species
UUUCCGUAGGUGAACCUGCGGAAGGAUCAUUCAUAAUAAAGUGUUCUAUGGCACUUUUUAAAAAUCCAUAUCCACCUUGUGUGCAAUGUUAGAUCUCGUCAAUCUUGGCGAGAUUUUUAUACAUCAACUCAUUCUUUAACUAAUUUGUCUGAAAAAUAUUAUGAAUACUUAAUUCAAAAUACAACUUUCAACAACGGAUCUCUUGGCUCUC